rnacentral:rRNA from 1 species
UACAGAGGGGGCAAGCGUUGUUCGGAAUUACUGGGCGUAAAGGGCGCGUAGGCGGCCUUCUAAGUCGAACGUGAAAUCCCUGGGCUCAACCCAGGAACUGCGUCCGAUACUGGAAGGCUUGAAUCCGGGAGAGGGAUGCGGAAUUCCAGGUGUAGCGGUGAAAUGCGUAGAUAUCAAGAGGAACACCUGAGGUGAAGACGGGUUGCUGGGCCGACACUGACGCUGACAGCGCGAAAGCCAGGGGAGCAAACGGG